CACGGCUUUCGCCCAUUGCGGAAGAUUCCUACUGCUGCCUCCCGUAGGAGCAGAGGCAGCAGUGGGAAUUUGCGCAAUGGGCGAAAGCCUGACGCAGCAACGCCGCGUGAGUGAAGAAGGCCUUUGGGUCGUAAAGCUCUUUCCGGGGGACGAGGCUGACGGUACCUCGGGAAUAAGCACCGGCUAACUCCGUGCCAGCAGCCGCGGU
rnacentral:rRNA from 1 species